rnacentral:rRNA from 1 species
UACGUAGGGUGCAAGCGUUAAUCGGAAUUACUGGGCGUAAAGCGUGCGCAGGCGGUUAUGUAAGACAGAUGUGAAAUGCCCGGGCUUAACCUGGGAACUGCAUUUGUGACUGCAUGGCUAGAGUUUGGCAGAGGGGGGUAGAAUUCCACGUGUAGCAGUGAAAUGCGUAGAUAUGUGGAGGAACACCGAUGGCGAAGGCAGCCCCCUGGGUUAAGACUGACGCUCAUGCACGAAAGCGUGGGGAGCAAACGAGG